rnacentral:rRNA from 1 species
GUACACGCUGUGACUAGCAUAUCAAUAAGCGGAGGAAAAGAAACUAACAAGGAUUCCCUUAGUAACGGCGAGUGAAGCGGGAAGAGCUCAAAUUUGAAAUCUUCAAGGUUUUACCUUGACGAAUUGUAGUUUAAAGAAGUGUUUUCUGCUGAAGUUUUGGUAAAAGUUCUUUGGAAUAGGACAUCAUAGAGGGUGAGAAUCCCGUAUUUGACCAUUAUUUUCAGCCUUGUGAUACACUUUCAAAGAGUCGGAUUGUUUGGGAAUGCAGUCCAAAAUGGGUGGUAAAUUUCAUCUAAAGCUAAAUAUUGGCGAGAGACCGAUAGCGAACAAGUACCGUGAGGGAAAGAUGAAAAGAACUUUGAAAAGAGAGUUAAACAGUACGUGAAAUUGUCAAAAGGGAAGCGUUUGACACCAGUGUUGUUUUCUCGAAAAUCAAUUAAAAAUGGCUCGAUUUUGUAUUGCUUGAGACCUUAAAAGCUCACUGUACAUUUUUCGUGUCUUUUUUAAUGCACUUUUCGUUUAACAAGUCAACAUCAGUUUCUUUUGUUGUAAAAGGGUCAUUGGAAGGUGGCCUUCUUUUCGGAGAAAGUGUUUAUAGCCUUUGGCCUCUGCAAUCGGAGAGACUGAGGUCUGCAGCGUAGACUCUUCGGGGUUAGAUACAUUUGUGCUAAGUUAUAGCUUUUUAUAGACAACUUGUUGACUAUAAUUAGUCUUGUAGCUUACUCGCUUAUGCUAUUUUACCUACGCUUAGGAUGUUGAGUAGCGACAUACGCAC